GAUAUUGAUGAUCUCGGGGGAAAUGAUCAUGCUGAGAUGGUCCAACACUUGCUCGUGGCUGCUGACCGGUAUGACAUGGAGAGGCUAAAACUGGUAUGUCAGAUCAUACUUUGCGAGAAUCUUGAUGUGGAGAAUGUUGCAACUACGCUGGCUUUAGCGGAUCAACAUCAUUGC
rnacentral:rRNA from 1 species